UACGAAGGGGGCUAGCGUUGCUCGGAAUGACUGGGCGUAAAGGGCGUGUAGGCGGUUUGUACAGUCAGAUGUGAAAUCCCCGGGCUUAACCUGGGAGCUGCAUUUGAUACGUGCAGACUAGAGUGUGAGAGAGGGUUGUGGAAUUCCCAGUGUAGAGGUGAAAUUCGUAGAUAUUGGGAAGAACACCGGUGGCGAAGGCGGCAACCUGGCUCAUAACUGACGCUGAGGCGCGAAAGCGUGGGGAGCAAACAGG
rnacentral:rRNA from 1 species